rnacentral:snRNA from 1 species
GUAUCGCUUCGAUAGCACAUAUACUAAAAUUGUAGUGGCACAGCAGAAAUUAGCAUGGCCCGGUGCAAGGAUGACAGGAAAAUUCGUGAAGCGUUCCAUAUUUAA